UACGUAGGGUGCAAGCGUUAAUCGGAAUUACUGGGCGUAAAGCGUGCGCAGGCGGCUUUGCAAGACAGAUGUGAAAUCCCCGGGCUUAACCUGGGAACUGCAUUUGUGACUGCAAGGCUGGAGUGCGGCAGAGGGGGAUGGAAUUCCGCGUGUAGCAGUGAAAUGCGUAGAUAUGCGGAGGAACACCGAUGGCGAAGGCAAUCCCCUGGGCCUGCACUGACGCUCAUGCACGAAAGCCAGGGGAGCGAACGGG
rnacentral:rRNA from 1 species